ACUGAAUAGAUACCCGGGUAGUCCACGCUGUAAACGAUGAUUACUCGAUGUUGGCGAUACACAGUCAGCGUCUGAGCGAAAGCAAUAAGUAAUCCACCUGGGGAGUACGAUCGCAAGAUUGAAACUCAAAGGAAUUGACGGGGCCGGCACAAGCGGAGGAGCAUGUGGUUUAAUUACGAUGAUACGCGAGGAACCGUUACCUGGGCGUCGAACGUAAGAUGACUGUAGGUGAAAGACUUACAUCUCUUCGGAGCAUUUUAACGUAGGUGCUGCAUGGUUGUCGUCAGCUCGUGCCGUGAGGUGU
rnacentral:rRNA from 1 species